UGAAUUGACGGGGGCCCGCGACAAGCGGUGGAGCAUGUGGUUUAAUUCGAUGCAACGCGAAGAACCUUACCUGGGCUUGACAUCCCGGGAAUCCCUUGGAAACAAGGGAGUGCCUUCGGGGAACCUGGAGACAGGUGCUGCAUGGCUGUCGUCAGCUCGUGUCGUGAGAUGUUGGGUUAAGUCCCGCAACGAGCGCAACCCUUGUCUUUAAUUGCCAUCAUUCAGUUGGGCACUUUUAAAGAGACUGUCGGUGUUAAACCGGAGGAAGUGGGAUGACGUCAAGUCCUCAUGGCCUUUAUGCCCAGGGCUACACACGUGCUACAAUGGGUGGUACAAAGAGCAGCAAGCUCGCGAGAGCAAGCGAAUCUCAAAAAGCCAUCCUCAGUUCGGAUUGAAGCCUGCAACUCGACUCCGUGAAGUUGGAAUCGCUAGUAAUCGUGGAUCAGCACGCCACGGUGAAUACGUUCCCGGGCCUU
rnacentral:rRNA from 1 species